rnacentral:rRNA from 1 species
CUACGGGGUGCACCAGUCGAGAAUCUUCCGCAAUGGACGAAAGUCUGACGGAGCGACGCCGCGUGCGGGAUGAAGGCCUUCGGGUUGUAGACCGCUGUCAGUGGGGAGGAAAUGCAUCAGGGUUCUCCCUGGUGUUUGACCGAUCCGCAGAGGAAGCGCAGGCUAAGUUCGUGCCAGCAGCCGCGGUAACACGAACUGCGCGAACGUUAUUCGGAAUCACUGGGCUUAAAGAGUUCGUAGGCGGCCUUUCAAGUCGGGUGUGAAAUCCCUCGGCUCAACCGAGGAAUUGCGCCUGAUACUGUUGGGCUUGAGGGGGAUAGGGGUGAGCGGAACUGAUGGUGGAGCGGUGAAAUGCGUUGAUAUCAUCAGGAACACCGGUGGCGAAGGCGGCUCACUGGAUCUCUUCUGACGCUGAGGAACGAAAGCUAGGGGAGCGAACGGGAUUAGAUACCCCCGUAGUC